GUGGCUCUGUCAGUCCUGUUGUGUGUGUGUGUGCUCGUGAUCAUCGUCCUCUGUGUGAAGAGAGGGAGGCUCUGUGCACACUGCAGAGAUUCUCCUGAUACUGUCAAUAGUUCACACUGUGAGAGUUCAGAAAAUAUGGAUACACAUGCAGAUGUCAACUAUGCAGCGCUGAAUUUCUCCUCCAGAAAAGUGAAUCAGAGACAGAGCAGUAACACAAGAGGAGAGCAGGAGUGUGUGUACUCCAGUGUGAGAG